rnacentral:rRNA from 1 species
CUACGGGAGGCAGCAGUGGGGAAUUUUGCACAAUGGGGGAAACCCUGACGCAGCAAUACCGCGUGAGUGAAGAAGGCCUUUGGGUCGUAAAGCUCUUUUCUUGGGGAAGAUAGUGACGGUACCCAAGGAAUAAGCACCGGCUAACUCCGUGCCAGCAGCCGCGGUAAUACGGAGGGUGCAAGCGUUGUUCGGAUUUACUGGGCGUAAAGGGCACGUAGGCGGCACAGCAAGUUAAGGGUGAAAUCCCGGGGCUCAACUCCGGAACUGCUCUUAAAACUGCUGAGCUAGAGAUAGUCAGAGGCGGGUGGAAUUCCAGGUGUAGAGGUGAAAUUCGUAGAUAUCUGGAGGAACACCGGUGGCGAAGGCGGCCCGCUGGGGCUAUUCUGACGCUAAGGUGCGAAAGCGUGGGGAGCAAACGGGAUUAGAUACCCUAGUAGUC